AAUAGUUUAUAAAGUUCAAUUCUUAUAGCUAGUUUUUUUUAUCUUGUUUUGGUUAGGUACGAGUAGUGCAUGUUCCUGUAGUCUGUAAGUGUUAUCCUUGGUUUAAUUUUUGUUUUACUAUUCUAAACUUUUAAAAUUGGUCUAAGUAGAUUUUUAGCUUUUGGUUUUGUUUUAGUUCUCUUCUACCAUAUAACACUUUAAACAAUGGUGUUGCAUUUUACUUUUCAUGUUUAAUGUAGUUUUAGUUUUUACCUAUUAAUUAGUAUCAUAUUUCUUGGUUUGCUAGUUGAAUAUUAGAUUAUUUAUAGUUUUGAGUUGCUUUCAAUUUUUCUACAUUUUCUUAUGUCAUCCAAAACUUGUUGUUAUCAUUGUUGUUUUUGUUGUUUUUAUUUUUGUUGUUGUUCUUGUUAUUGUUGUUAUUCUUUAUCUUGUAGUUGUUUGCUUUCUUGUUGUUUUUGUUGUUUGUUUUGUUCUAAUUUUUGUUGUUCUUGUUGUAGUUGGUUUUUUUGUAAUUCU
rnacentral:lncRNA from 1 species